rnacentral:rRNA from 1 species
UACGAAGGGGGCUAGCGUUGCUCGGAAUCACUGGGCGUAAAGCGCACGUAGGCGGGUCCUUAAGUCAGGGGUGAAAUCCCGGAGCUCAACUCCGGAACUGCCUUUGAUACUGGGGAUCUUGAGUCCGGAAGAGGUGAGUGGAACUCCGAGUGUAGAGGUGAAAUUCGUAGAUAUUCGGAAGAACACCAGUGGCGAAGGCGGCUCACUGGUCCGGUACUGACGCUGAGGCGCGAAAGCGUGGGGAGCAAACAGG